UAACAGGAAAUUUAAGGGCGUACGGUGGAUGCCUAGACUUUAAGAGGCGAUGAAGGACGUGGCGUUGCUGCGAUAAGCUUCGGGGAGGUGCUUAGCAACCUUUGAUCCGGAGAUUUCCGAAUGGGGAAACCCCACAGAGUAAACCUCUGUGAUCCCGACACUUGAUGUCGUGGAAGCAUACCCUGGGAAGUGAAACAUCUCAGUACCAGGAGGAGUAGAGAACAAUAGUUAUUUCCUUAGUAGCGGCGAGCGAAAAGGAAGAAGCCCAAACCGAUGUAGCAAUACAUCGGGGUUGUAAGGUAACAAUUUUUAUUUAAUUAGAGAGGAGUCAAAAAAUAAAUUAUUAGUUGAAGUUGCUGGAAAGCGACACCAUAGGGGGUGAUAGUCCCGUAAACGAAAAUAAUUUAUCUCUUUUAUUGUUAUUCUUGAGUACCCCAGGACAUGAAUGGCCGGGGGGAAUCCAGCGGAACUAACCGCUAAGGCUAAAUACUCUUAAAGAUCGAUAGUGAACUAGUACCGUGAGGGAAAGGUGAAAAGCAGCCCGAUUAGGGCGGUGAAAUAGACCUGAAACCGUAUGUCUACAAGGAGUCGAUGCUCCGAUUUAUCGGAGCUACGGCGUGCCUAUUGAAGAAUGAGCCAACGAGUUUAUUCAUACUGCGAGGCUAAGCUGGCUAAAACAGCAGAGCCAAAGGGAAACCGAGUGUUAAUAGCGCGAAAUUAGUAGUAUGCAUAAGACCCGAAGCCAGGUGAGCUUGCCAUGAGCAGGAUGAAGUUCCAUGAAAGUGGGAUGGAGGUCCGAACGGGUAGAUCGUACAACGUCUUCCGAUGACUUGUGGUAAGGAGUGAAAAGCUAAUCGAACCUGGUAAUAGCUGGUUCUCUCCGAAAUAGCUUUAGGGCUAGCGUCGUGUGUUUUUUCCGGGGGUAGAGCACUGGAAGAUUUCGACAGGGAGCAAUCUCGCGAAACCUAUCAAACUCCGAAUACCGGAAACCAUAGCACGGCAGUUAGGCCAUGGGGGCGAAGCUCCAUUGGCCAAAAGGGAAACAGCCCAGAUCUCAAAAUAAGGUCCCUAAAUAUAUACUAAGUGUAAGACAAGAAGGUGAGAUUUCUUAAACAAUGAGGAGGUUGGCUUAGAAGCAGCCAUCCUUUAAAGAUAGCGUAACAGCUCACUCAUCUAGAGAUUUUGCGUCGAAAAUAAUUGGGGCUAAGUAUAUUACCGAAUUUGAGGAUUU
rnacentral:rRNA from 1 species